GCACCCGCGGUAAUUCCAGCACCAAUAGCGUAUAUUAAUGCUGCUGCUGUUAAAAAGCUCGUAGUUGGAUCAAGAGUACAACAGUGCAAGGUGGCCUCAUUGCGUUAGUGGCUCCGGUCGCUGGCGCGGUGGCGGAUCUAACCCCUUGCAUUAAACUGUUGUCUCUAACAGGCCGAAGCGGUUCCCUGUGAGUAGGCCACUUCAUUGGGGCUGAAAGCGAUUACGCAUUUACCACAUGCAUACGGGACGUCGGCCAAAGUUACUGUGAACAAACCAGCGUGUCCAAAACAGGCUUUCGCCUGAAUGUUCGAGCAUGGAAUAACAAGGGAUCGAUUCUCUCGGUUCUUUUUGUUGGUUUUUAACCCGAGAAGGAGUAAUUCAGGCCACGGUGUCUGGGCUGGGUUCCCCUAGGCUUCGUGCUUAGGCCCCAGUUAGGCCGUGUUCUUACGGGAUAAAUAGGGACUGACGGGGUCGUACGUACUUCCACGUCAGAGGUGAAAUUCUUAGAUCGUGGGAAGACGAACUUCUGCGAAAGCAUUCGACAAGAAUGUCUUCAUUAAUCAAGAACGAGAGUGUGGGGAUCGAAGAUGAUCAGAUACCGUCGUAGUCCACUACUGUAAACAAUGCCGUCUCAGGAUUGAGAAGUGAACCUAAUGACUUUCACAGCACUAACCCCUGAAACGAGAAAUCAAAGAUUAUGGGUUCAGGGGGGAGUACAUUCGCAAGGCUGAAACUUAAAGGAAUUGACGGAAUGACACCACAAGGCGUGGAGUAUGCGGCUUAAUUUGACUCAACACGGGGAAUUUUACUAGGUCAGGACAAUGUAAGGAUUGACAGAUUGAGAGCUCUUUCUCGAUCCAUUGUGUGGUGGUGCAUGGCCGCUCCUGGUUGGUGGAGUGAUUUGUCUGGUUGAUUCCGUUAACGAACGAGAUCUCGACCCUUAAAUAGGUGCCCGUGUCGAUCGUAGUUUCGCCUCCGCCCGGCUUGCCGAGAUUGGAGCGGGACGAGACUGCGGGAAUACUUCUUAAGGGGACUGUGUGCGUCUCUAGCACGCGGAAGAGCGAGCCAAUAGCAGGUCUGUGAUGCUCCUAAAUGUCCUAGGCUGCACGCGCACUACACUGAUGCAAUAAACGAGUCUGAGUGCCUCCUGGCAACCUACCUAGAAGUGGGUGGGAAAUCUUUUGAACUUGCAUCGUGAUGAG
rnacentral:rRNA from 1 species